rnacentral:rRNA from 1 species
CGAAUUCGCCCUUCCUACGGGAGGCAGCAGUGGGGAAUUUUACGCAAUGGGGGAAACCCUGACGUAGCGACACCGCGUGAGCGAAGAAGCCCUCUGGGGUGUAAAGCUCUGUCAGCAGGGACGAAAAAAAUGACGGUACCUGCAGAGGAAGCAUCGGCUAACUACGUGCCAGCAGCCGCGGUAAGACGUAGGAUGCAAGCGUUGUCCGGAUCCAUUGGGCGUAAAGAGUUCGUAGGCGGUUUGUUAAGUCUGAUGUUAAAGAUCAGGGCCCAACCCUGAGAGUGCAUUGGAUACUGGCAGACUGGAGUGCAGUAGAGGCAAGUGGAAUUCCCAGUGUAGCGGUGAAAUGAGUAGAUAUUGGGAAGAACACCGGUGGCGCAGGCGACUUGCUGGGCUGUAACUGACGCUGAGGAACGAAAGCUAGGGGAGCAAAUGGGAUUAGAUACCCCAGUAGUCCUAGCUGUAAACGAUGGAUACUAGGCGUUGCAGGUAUCGACCCCUGCAGUGCCGCAGUUAACGCGAUAAGUAUCCCGCCUGAGUAGUACGGCCGCAAGGUUGAAACUCAAAGGAAUUGACG